GCCAUUUUUGUUGUGUCUUCUUCAAUUCCCAUGACAAGAGUACACCGGCGCAGCUCUUCUAGCAGGAAAAGCAAUACAAGUUUUCGUCAUCUCGAGGACGCUCAAAUAGAUCCUAGCCCUCCACCUCCGUUGAGAAUUGUACAAGUUUGGUACAAUGUUCGAGUUGGCUGACAACUUAUAGGAGGAUUUGAAUUUCGAAUUUCAAAUCUCUCCAAAUCCAUCCCGUUUUCCCUUCCAUUUUUGUCUAAUCUUUCAUCCAUAAAUAGCAUCUUUUUCUACAUUUUUUUGAUUUGGGAAAAAAUAGGGCUAGAAAAAUAGAAAAAGGUUGGAGGGAGUAGAAAGAGAACGCAGGAAGAGUUACAGAGAAUCAACAGGCAAAAGCGAGGUAGGAUUUACAGCGACAACGAUCAUAAAGUUAAAGUUUCUGGUCUCCUGUUUGGCAUUCUAAUUUCUGUAGAUCGUUGGAAGUGGGGUUGCUCUCUUAAGCUCUUCGUCGUCCUGAGUUUGCUGCUCCAAAAUAGGGCCUAGUAUGAAAUGGAAGAGCUUCAUCCAUUUUGGAAACGGUGCUAGCAGAGCAAUCAGUGCAUGGAGCCUGAGUAUCCCACUCAGGAAGCCUAACACAUGCCAAAUGACCUCAAAAUUCAUAGGAGAAAGGUCAUGUGUUGCCAUCUCGGGUUCAACACCAUUCUUAAACUAUACCUUCUCCAUAUGAACUUGCGUAAGGGAGGGGUCACUGAUCUUGUCCCAGCUAUUCUUGUCCCAGCUAUUGCCCAAGCUCCACCAACUGCAGGUGGAUGACACCAGAUGAAACAGAUCAGAGAGAGAGUACCAGCUCCAAUUGCAGAACCAACAAUGUGAGGGUGAGGAAGAGGCAAAGGCAUAUGGAAAGAAACACCCGCUAGAGGUGGAGACCAGCAAUCCCUCCCCUCCCUUACACAGGUUCAUAUUGAAAAAUGGUGUGGAGGUAGAGUUCAAGAAGGGUAUUGAACCCGAUCGAGAUGGCGACUCAAAUUAGGGUUUAUGCCUUCCCCCUAUGACUUGUGAGGUUAUUCGGCAAGUCGACAAGUGUUAACCUUCCUGAGUGGGAUAGCGUUUACUGGAGCCACUCCUACUCAAGCCCCAGACACUUAUUCUGCUGCUAGUAUCGCUCCAAGAAUGGAUGAAGCUUCGGGUAUUGAUGUGUUCUUUCAUUCAAUACUAGGAGACUAACCAUGACUUAUUAACUAUGUUUUUGAAGUUGAAACCUUCAUAGUUUCAUGGUAUUGAAAAUGAGAGCUUUUGAACCGUUACGAGAGAUUGCAUAAGGUGGAUAUUGUACAACAACAUAUAUCUAAAUGGUAGAGUAUGCGUCUAAUCUUAAAAAUAAUGUUAUUUUUCAUUUUUAUUCGUUAAGAUUUUUUUUUUUGUUCAUCUGCUUAAUAUCAUUUCUGUUGUUUUGACAACUAAAUUAUCUUCUAAAGAUGAAGAUGUCAUUGACGAAUAUUUGCAUGGAAUGUUGUAGUGGGACAAGAAGAUAUAUAGUCAUUAUAUGUUGAUGGUA